AAACCGUUCAGGGGUAAACCUGAGAAACCCAAAAGAUCGAAUGGGGAGAUUCAUCGGCAACGGUGCUGGCUCCCGUUGGUGCGCGAUGCUCCGGAUGAAUCCUCGUGGUUCAUCGGCGAGGGCACACCACCUUCGGCUUGAACGUUCCGGCAUCGUAGUCGUGCACUUCUCCCCUAGUAGAACGUCGCGACCCGUUGUGUGUCGGUCUACGGCCCGAGAGGGCGCCUGUCGCGUCGCUUCGCGCGCACGCGGCAGACCCUCGGUCGCCUGGCCGGCUGCACGACGGUACUCGCACGGUAUCGGGCCGCAACCAAUCCAUUUUUUCGAAUGUGUGUGCGUCAGGCCCGCCGCAAGCUCGGUCAGUUCUUACCCGGAGGUACGGACCUGGUGCCGUCCCCGGGCCUGGCCAGCUGUUAGCAGGCGGUGUCCUUGGACUGGCCAAGACUCGAAUUACCGGUCGGCGACGCUAUUGCUUUGGGUACUCUCAGGACCCGUCUUGAAACACGGACCAAGGAGUCUAACAUGUGCGCGAGUCAUUGGGAUGCAAAAACCUAAAGGCGAAAUGAAAGUGAAGAUCGGACUUUGUGCCGAUCGAGGGAGGAUGGGCCGCGUUACUAUGCGGCCCCGCACUCCCGGGGCGUCUCGUUCUCAUUGCGAGAAGAGGCGCACCUAGAGCGUACACGUUGGGACCCGAAAGAUGGUGAACUAUGCCUGGUCAGGACGAAGUCAGGGGAAACCCUGAUGGAGGUCCGUAGCGAUUCUGACGUGCAAAUCGAUCGUCGGAACUGGGUAUAGGGGCGAAAGACUAAUCGAA
rnacentral:rRNA from 1 species